UAAGGGUUAGAGAGAACUAGAAAGAGAGAGAAAAAAGGUUUACAGGCACAAAGGAGGCUUCUCUCAGACGAAACGAAUAAAGAACAAAAAAAAAAGCUGAGAAGAAUCCAUAAAAGGUGACAAAAGCAAGAAGGAGAAGCAAACAUGUAUCCAUAUCUUGUCUUCUGAUUCACACACGUACUAUUCUUCUUUUUCUUCUUCUUCUUCUUCUUCAUCAUCAUUAUUCACCAAUACCACUCUUCUUCCUUCUCACUUGUUAGUAUACUUUAUGUCUUAUCUGAUUUUGUUUUUUACUUCCUUCCCUUGAUUUUUGUUUGGUAGAAGAAAAGAAUGGAGGGUAUUGAUCAGCAUUACUGCAACAAUGGUAGUGGGUUUCAAGAAGAGCAUUUUCUUUAGAGAAGAAGAAAAAAUAGUUUCAUAACUCUUCAAUGUCGUUGAUCAGAUUCAUUUCUAUGUCUUUAAUGUAAUAAUCUCAUUAAACAAAAAAUAGUGUGACGGUUUGGGAAGUAGUGAUAUUGGCGGAAAGGCUCAAUCUCCUUGUCACAUUAUUAAAUCACUUUCUUUGUUUUCUUCUCUUUAAUUUUAAUUUAGAGGUAUGAUUUCUUACUUCAUGUAUUUAGUUA